GCUGAGUAUCUUAUAUUAUGUAAUAGGUGUAGGUACCUUUCGGUUUGAACAUUCACUUAGUGACAAUUGAUUACCUCUGUAGAGCCAAGGUGGACUAUGCCUUGAACCUUGGUCCAUGGCUCAGAUUUCAUCAACAGCACACAUAAUAUAGCGUGAACAUGCUCGAAGUGGGUUUGCGCUUUACGGCCAUGCGCAGGUAUCUCUUCAUGUGUGUUAUUAGGGAACAGCCCACUUUCCACAGUCGCGGCCUCACGACUACACGCAUAUAGGUGAAUCCUAAA
rnacentral:lncRNA from 1 species